rnacentral:rRNA from 1 species
CGGUAAGUGGGGCGAACCUAGCCCUCGUACUGGGGAAUAAUCAUUGGAAACGAAUGACUAAUACCGCAUGUGGUCCUCGGAAGGCAUCUUCUGAGGAAGAAAGGAUUUAUUCGGUACAGGAUGGGCCCGCAUCUGAUUAGCUAGUUGGUGAGAUAACAGCCCACCAAGGCGACGAUCAGUAGCCGACCUGAGAGGGUGAUCGGCCACAUUGGGACUGAGACACGGCCCAA